rnacentral:sRNA from 23 species
GUCCGGGUAGUGGCCGGUGAAGAUGGUCGGACGGCUGGGGACGCA